rnacentral:lncRNA from 1 species
GGGAUUUCACUCAUCCAAAGUGUUGUGAAGGUUAGCUACUUCAUGCUCCAUUCAUUUAUUGUUGUUAAGCUUUGCUUUAUACUAUAGAGAGGAAGAAAAAUGAGUUUAUUUGUUGUUAAGCAUGUAGAGGAUUUGUAUUUAUACAUGUUUUUGAGCUACAAUGUAAUGGAUAGUUUGAAUGUGAGGGUGAAUGGACAGUAAAUGUGAGGUAGAAUUGAGAUUCUUUCAAUUUUAUGCAUUAGGGAAAAAUCAGAGUAAAUGUGUUUUUAAUAUUCAUACUUUAGUACUUUUCAGAUAGAGGUAUGGAAUUAGCCAUUUUUAGAAUAAGUAAAUGAUGUGGGAAAUAUUGAAUUUUUUAAUAGUUUAGUUAUUUGUAAAUUAAAUAUGAGCUAAAUAAUUUAUGGUACAUAGAGAUGGAUUUUGAUGCUGGAUGUAGUGGCGAUGGUGGGGGAGAUCGUCGUUCCUCUCGCGGCAAGGGGAAAAUCAUAGUCGGCCCUCACGAUAAGCUGAAGAAAAUGAGUGCGUGGGAGAAAGUAAUGCUUCGUUAUUUGCAAAGAUGUCAUGAAGAAGCUGUUGCGGCGGGUCAGGAACUUCCUUUUGGUGGUCGUUAUGCUCCACCGCCAAUCCCGGGUAUUUUAGGUCCACUUAUAAGUACUACCAUUGCAGAAGGUACAAAUAAACCACAUGAUGAGGCUGCGUCAGCGAAACCUUCGUCUUCGCUUCCCAAGGAUGCUUGAAGUCCUUCUAGAUAGUACUUAGUGGAUGGUUUGUCGUAGUGUAUCAUGUUGUUGUUACUCUCAAGUUUAAAUUUGUGUAUUUCUAUGUAAACUUUCAGCAAUAUUUGAGUUUGUCGUAAUGUAUCAUGUUGUUUUCUUCUGAAAUUUUAAUUUGUGUAUUUCUAUCUAAAAUUUU